rnacentral:rRNA from 1 species
CCUACGGGUGGCAGCAGUGAGGAAUAUUGGUCAAUGGGCGCGAGCCUGAACCAGCCAAGUAGCGUGAAGGAUGACUGCCCUACGGGUUGUAAACUUCUUUUAUUAAGGAAUAAAGUGAGGCACGUGUGCCUUUUUUUAUGUACUGUACGAAUAAGGAUCGGCUCACUCCGUGCCAGCACCCGCGGUAAUACGGAGGAUCCAAGCGUUAUCCGGAUUUAUUGGGUUUAAAGGGUGCGUAGGCGGAUUGAUAAGUUAGAGGUGAAAUGUCCGAGCUUAACGCGGGAACUGCCUCUAAUACUGUUGAUCUAGAGAGUAGAUGCGGUAGGCGGAAUGUAUGGUGUAGCGGUGAAAUGCAUAGAUAUCACGCAGAACUCCGAUUGCGAAGGCAGCAUACCGGCGCCCAACUGACGCUGAAGCACGAAAGCGUGGGUAUCGAACAGGAUUAGAUACCCUAGUAGUC